CUCUCCAGGAACAGAUGUCCUGCAUUCUAAAUGGAGAGUGCAGAGCCCACAGCAAACAACUAUCCCCAGCAGCCCGGAUCCCUCUGACAUCAGCCCCCAGGAAUGCGCUGCAGACCCUCUAGCACGUUCAGGCCUCCCAGAGCCUCCCCUCCCCUCCUCCAUCCCAGUGUCUCACUGGGGACAGGCCUCUGAGCUGCAGACGGAGGCCCUCGGAGGGUGUAGACAGCCCACCGAGCUCCAGGCCUGGAGACUGGAGGAGUGACUGGAGUGAGUGAGGCAGCCUUGGGUGAAGUGGAGCGGGAAGCCUGCCUAUGAAAGAGGCAGCUAGGCCAGUAGCUGGGCUGUAGGAAGAACACGGAGCUGGACUGAUUCAACCAAGAGUCCUACCCACCGGUGCUCCUCUUGCCAAGAGUGAAGGCAGAUGUCGUGGGAUUCUGCCAACUGCUGAGUACAUCUAUUUCCAUGAUGCUUUCCGGAAGUGGGGAAAUAGCACAGGAUGGGUUUGAGAUGGACGUAAGCUAAAAACCCAUAAGCCCCCACUUUGAUGUUCUGGGUCUCCUAGAAUUAGUGUCAGCUCAGAACCAGUGGCCAGUAGUCCAAAAGAUCUGAGUAUUUCCUUUUCUCCAAUGCAGGCUCAUCUUGGUGAAAGGUGCCUUUGGAGAAAGAAUACAGUAUAAAUUUCUGGCAGGCUACGAGGGUGCUUCCUUGAGGGUACCCAGCCUUUCCCUCAUUCAAGAGCUUCCAGUCUGAUAAAACUGGCUCAAGUAUGGGAAUGGAUUGAGCGGUCAUGACUCUGCUUUUAUGAUUCGGGACAGAUUUUUGUUUGCUUGACCUAGAAGUUUUCUGCUUAUACAGAUUAAGUACGAACUUAGUAGGCUUCCUGUCUAUUUCACUUCGAGGAACAUCAUGAUCAACCAGCCAACACCACAGGUCUGCAGCAGUCAGACUGCCUGCUGCUUUGAUUCCACUGUCCAAUAGGGUCAGCACGUCCACCUUGCCUUCGGUAGUACUACAGCCACGGGGCCCCUGCCGCCCUGGAGCCAAUUACUCCCGUCGCAUUCAGGUUACUGGUUCGGUGGCUGCUGUUCCUGCUGUGAGGUCUGGCCUUCAGAGAAGAGUGAUCACAGCUCCUCAGGGAGGCUGGGGCUCCUUUCAUAUAUUUACUUCUCACUGUCAAGGUGAAAGGCGUGUCUUCAGGAGCUUCCCAGUGUGGGUGAGGAGGUCUUAAAGGGAAGCCGAACAUGCCACAGACCACACGGGAAUUCUUGGCUGUCCAGUGCUUGUCACAGAUCUGCUUCCAGGUCUUGCCCUCCUUCACCUCCACAUAGCCCUCCAUCACUGGGGUGCGCCUGCGUCCGUCAGAAAAACAAUGCAUUCUACUGCUUCCACGAUGUAAGAGAAAAGCAAAUAAAAACAUUCCCAUUGGAGAGAUUGGAAAACCAAGGAGAGAAACGGAGGCUCUUCAAGGUUGAGAAGGACCCCAGGGCCAGUCUCCUGAUGUCCAGGCCCUGCUGAAACGUGUCUGUUCUCACGGCUGCUGGUCAGGGCUCAAACGACAGCACCUUGGAUCCAUUGUGGAGAACAAAGAGCUAAUUGAAAACAUCUGGGCUGAGGUUUUCCAACUGGCUUCUCAAUUUGGCCUGGUUUCCAAGCAGUCAAGCUCCACUGAAACAUACACUCCCUAAUCGAUUGCUGUCUCAACAACAAACCAAUGUUUGUCUUGCUAAGUACUAGCAACAGAAAAGACCCUCCACGUCCUAAGCGGAAUGUUCUGUCGCAAAGCUGCUGAAGUGACAGAGAUGGUGAAAAGCAGUGGCACCCUAUUCCAUCUGCAGUGAGAGAAACCCCCCUCUCUAAGGACCUGGAAGUCGACCAGUGCAUCAUCAAAGGAACUGAGAACAGCUGCAAACCAGAGACCCUACAGAGCCUGCCCCAAAGAGCUGCUCUCUUAUGAAUCUUCCAUGGACCCCUUCCACAUAUGCUUGGUCAAUUUCUACUUAGAUGGCAGAUAUGUGAAUUUGUACUUAGCCCAAGACAGCAUCACCAUGCAUGGUAUACUCAUUUGGCCUGAUUUCAUAACAAAAAUGUUUUUGUUUUUUGAGACAGUGUCUCACUCUGUCACUCAGGCUGGAGUGCAGUGGUGCAAUCGUAGCUCACUGCAACUUCCGCCUCCCAGGUUCAAGCAAUUCUCCCACCUCAGCCUCCCAAGUAGCUGGGACCAAAGGCGCAUGCCACCAUGCCCAGCUAAUUUUUGUAUUUUUUGGUAGAGACGGGAUUUCACCAUGUUGGCCAGGCUGGUCUCUAACUCCUGACCUCAGGUGAUCCGCCUGCCUCAGCCUCCCAAAGUGCUGGGAUUACAGGCAUAAGACACUGCAAAGGGCCCUUUUUUUCCCCUCUACAGGCUUAGUGCUUAUUAACUAGACUACUCCGAUUCCAAUGCAAGCAGCUUCUGGGUCUGCCUGCUGGAAAGCAGGGUGGUUCUAGGUACAAUCCAGUAGAUGCCUCCCCAGAGCUGCCAGGAAAGCUAUGUCCUUGGGACACAAGAUGAGAGUCAAACUUUGGACACAAGAAAGCCAUUCAAUCAGAAGUCAAAUUUUAUCUUACUCUUUCCUUCCAAUGCCUCUCCUGAUGAAAGAAGAGAUAAAUAUAUAUAUACAAGUUAACAGAUCAUUAGGAAGGUAAAAAUCAUAAAUGAAAUUCCGUUGGAAUGCCAGAGCCCAGGACAAUGGAAAUUAUUCAAGUUACACUCUGUGGGGUCACAAAUGGGUGCAGUGGGUCACGCCUGUAAUCCUAGCACUGUGGGAGGCCAAGGUGGGCACAUCACUUGAGGCCAAGAGUUUGAGAUCAGCCUGGCCGACAUGGCAAAACCCCGUCUCUACUAAAAAUACAAUUAAAAAAAUCAGCUGGGCCUAGUGGUGCACACCUGUAAUCCCAGCUACUCGGGGGGCUGAGGUGGGAGGAUCACUUGAACUCAGGAGGUGAAGGUUGCAGUCAGCCUAGAUCCCACCACUGCACUCCAGCCUGGGUGAUAAAGCAACACUCUGUCUCAAAGAAAAGAAAAAAAUCUGUGGGGUUCCAAUGUAGUUAUCGCUGGCUUCGUCGCUGUGGUCUAAAGAAUGAGGGAUGUGACUGGGAAUAAAUAGGCUUAGCCUCCUGAUUCUGAACACAGGUGAAGGAGAGCAACCACCUUAGCUUCAGCUGCUAUAACCUCGAACAGGGGUUGAGAAACAGGACAGCUGCUCCCUCCAGAACUCCCUAAAAGGGCCUGUGGUUUACCUGAGCUCAGAGAUGAUUUGGGAGAACAGUCUGUGGACAGGCCAGGCAAGAAAACGCAGAACGUCCCUGGUGCCCUCCCUGGUUUCAUUACUCCAGCCUGCAGUUCAGAGGAGCUUGAGGGGUCCUGGAGAGGCAGCCUUAUCCAGUCUGGCCGGCACGUUAAGCCCCUAAGCCCCACCGGAGCAAGCCCUGGGUGCUGGCCACGUUCUGUGCUCACUAUACCAAGAACUGUUUUGCCAACUCUUUUUCCCAUCCUGCCAAAUCAAAAUGAAUCAAUUAGCUACUAUUCACUGAGUGCCCACCAUGUACCCUGUGAUAAAGAUCUGGACUGAUGCUGGUGAAAUUCAAAUACAUUUAGAUGUAAAAAGAUCUCUCAUGUCAUAAACCGAGCACCCACUUCACGUAAGCAGCUUAACUCGUAAAGCCUUGAACACAAGACAGGGUUCUUUUUUUUUUUUUUUUUUUUUUCAAGCAUCUGUUUCUUCCUCCUCUCUUUGACGUUAUUCCUUUUAUAACCCUUGAUGGUUUCCAUGUCCACAAAGAUGACCUUUCCAGUACUCCUGGUCUGUUCGUUAAUACACCUCCUCUCUCAGGGACUGUCCUCCAUCCUGCUCCAGCCGCUGUCCCAUGGUCAUAGCUCAGGUCUCUCAUUACCAGAGAUUGCACCCCUCAAUCUACAUUUCCCCUUUCCUGCUCUGCACCCACACACAGCUCCCUUCAUCUUUUAGUAAACUUCUUGUAUCUCCAUCUGAACAGAGACCCGCAAUCCAGUGAUCACAGCAGCUAUGCACAAUCCUUCAACUUCUCCACUUAUUACCACCCUUCUUACCCAGCACAGUUUCCAUGGACCAUGAGUUUAAUCCUUCCCUUUCAUAUUCCCUCCACUCCUUGGAACUUUUCACUCUUCACGACGCUUGGAUGGCAAAGUCCCACCUGGGUAAAAACCUGUCUCCUACUACCCGAUGCCUGCUCCUGAUAGGGAAAAACCACAGCCCCCUUGUCUGACAACAGGUGUUUUAAAUUGAGGUUGAAAUCAAAUUAAGUUGUCACUGGAAAAAUA